rnacentral:lncRNA from 1 species
GAAGGAUUUCUUACGAUGAAAAGAUGUGGCAUGGGGAAUAAAUUCACAUGGGUUGGUUUGGGUUUAGUCCUAUUCCAAAUAGGAUUCAAGAUCUUGAUCAAAUUCUAGCAAUUUUUGGACCCAAUUCUAACUAACUUAAGAAUUAGUUAUAACUAACUAACUAAUUGGAUCCUAGUCCAAUUAUGAAGCAUAUUAGGCCCC